rnacentral:lncRNA from 1 species
CUGAACAGAAUUCAGACUAAGGUUAAUCCCACCUGUCUCUUAAUGGAUGAGAUUUUUAUAUUAGUUGGAUGAAUGCCAUAGACUCUUUAUUAUGUGGUGUGAUACUAUUUUAAAAUAUUAACAUUUCCUUUUGUUUCAGAAAUGUUCUGAUAACCCACUCUUUUUGCAUUUAGGGAGAUAAGAGGGGAGAGUGCCUAUGUGCACUGCUCUCAAAGUGUGGUUGUUACAUAGAAAAGCGGAGAAAAAGUAGAAGGUAAUUUGGAUUUUGACCUUCAAAAGGUCUAAACAAAAGGAGCUAAAUAAGCACUGGCCUAGAAAUCAGCGAUAUCAAAACAAUUACAACUCAUCCAGCUCUCAGAUGCUUUGAGAAAUUCAGAGGAUAUAUGACAAUAACUGUAAACUAGUGGAGAAGAAAUAGAAAAAAAGAAGGGUACACAGACAAGAUUUGAACAUGGAUAGUUAUUGCUCCGAUCUUCGAUAAAACCAUUUGAAAAUGGACAGAGUGUAAA